rnacentral:rRNA from 1 species
AUGAACGCUGGCGGCGUGCCUAAUACAUGCAAGUCGAGCGAACGGACGAGAAGCUUGCUUCUCUGAUGUUAGCGGCGGACGGGUGAGUAACACGUGGAUAACCUACCUAUAAGACUGGGAUAACUUCGGGAAACCGGAGCUAAUACCGGAUGAUAUUUUGAACCGCAUGGUUCAAAAGUGAAAGACGGUCUUGCUGUCACUUAUAGAUGGAUCCGCGCUGCAUUAGCUAGUUGGUAAGGUAACGGCUUACCAGGGCAACGAUGCAUAGCCGACCUGAGAGGGUGAUCGGCCACACUGGAACUGAGACACGGUCCAGACUCCUACGGGAGGCAGCAGUAGGGAAUCUUCCGCAAUGGGCGAAAGCCUGACGGAGCAACGCCGCGUGAGUGAUGAAGGUCUUCGGAUCGUAAAACUCUGUUAUUAGGGAAGAACAUAUGUGUAAGUAACUGUGCACAUCUUGACGGUACCUAAUCAGAAAGCCACGGCUAACUACGUG